rnacentral:rRNA from 1 species
UACGUAGGGGGCAAGCGUUAUCCGGAUUCACUGGGUGUAAAGGGAGCGUAGACGGCCAUGCAAGCCUGGAGUGAAAGCCCGGGGCCCAACCCCGGGACUGCUCUGGGAACUGUGCGGCUGGAGUGCGGGAGGGGCAGGCGGAAUUCCUGGUGUAGCGGUGAAAUGCGUAGAUAUCAGGAGGAGCACCGGCGGCGAAGGCGGCCUGCUGGACCGCGACUGACGUUGAGGCUCGAAAGCGUGGGGAGCAAACAGG